GAGUAUUUUCCCCUAACGUUUUGAGCUUUCUUUUUUUUUUUCUUUUCAUCGCGAAAAUGUGCAUCUGAUACAAUGUCUGUUGCUGUGUCACACAGAUGUCAAAGGACGCAGCCGUCAGUCCAGCUCACCCUUGGACGCCCUGCUGGCUGCUCUGCUCUCAGUGUUCAUUGUCACCACUGCCGUCGUCUUCCUCGUCCUCUUCCUCAGGUUUCGGCAGAAGACAAACCAACCAGAGUUUCAUCGGUUACAUGAUCUUCCCAUGGAUGAUUUGAUGGAGGACACACCUCUCUCCAGGUACAGCUACUGAUGAGGAGGCAUGUCUUUGGUCGUUUCUACCACUCAGAGGUAACGCCAGACAAAGACCAGCAGGGCCUUAACUUAUGCAGCUGCAGCUAAUGUUGCGGCAGACUGAUUGUAUUGUAUCGGUAAUGAAAAUGCUGCCACAGUGACCUUUAAAUUACAUUUUCUAAAAUGGUUUCUUAACACAUUCCCCUUUUAAGAAUAUAUUAGUGUUGUUUUUUUUCUCAUAUCCAUUCAUAAUUUGCAGGUAUGCAACGAGGGAUGUCCGAUAUUUACUUUUUCCAUUUUAUUUUCAUACUUCAUUUCCGAUUCCGAUAUUUACCGAUACUGAUAUAGCAGGAAGUGGUGGCCUGGUGGUUAAGGAAGGAAGUUAACAGGGGGGCUUGACAAUCCAUUCAAUAGAUGAAUAAAGCUGCAACGCUGCCAUCUAGUGGCUUUUACUUUAAUAUACAGCCGUUUUCCCCCUCAACUAUUUUUAGGGCACACAUCAUUUGGUAAAACCCAGGCAUUGUUUUCGGGUUUUUAUUAUGGGAGAAAAAAAAAACCCGAUAACGAUUCUGCUGACAUCCCUACAUGCAACAGUUUAACAGAGGUUGUUAAACCUCUUUAGUGUGUAUGUUAGGUAAUGUGGCUAACGACCGUAGCAGUAGGCGGCAGAUAUGAAUGUCAAGUGUAAGGUACACUUGAAAUGUUUGAAAGACAAACUCUUGUUCAUUUAGGUGUUACGGUUUUAUAUGGGCGAGUAAAACAAUAAUGUAAUGACUGUGGUUUAAACAAAUGAGAUACCGCUACUCCUACGACUUUUAGUGAUAACAUAUACGAAAAAAAAACUGCUACAGCUAUUGAAUGUGCGUAUUUAUUGUAGGCGUGUUUGUUUGCGCAAUUUGUGCAAAGGUCAAGAGGCACUGUUUUUUUGUGUCCGGUGUUCAUACUUGUUGGAUCAUUGUCUAGUUGCGUUGGACUUUGCGCUUUUAGUAUCAUUUAUUGCACUUGUGAUUUUUACGGCAAAUGUAUUAAACAGAGCCAUUAAAGUGUUCACCUUAAGAAUGUACUUUAUUUAUUUGAUAAUUGAAUGAGUUGACAUGGAAUCUCUUACAAUCACACGGACAUUCUUUACACUUUUAGGACAAGUCUGAGCUUCAAUCUUUUGGUCAGUGUCGCGUCUCCCGCAGAGCAAGGAACCUUGAAUAGUUGUGGACAUUCCAG